rnacentral:rRNA from 1 species
GACGGAAGGUGCAAGCGUUGCUCGGAAUCACUGGGCGUAAAGGGUGCGUAGGCGGCCGUGCAAGUCUGGCGUGAAAGCCCCGGGCUCAGCCCGGGAAGUGCGCUCGAAACUGCGCGGCUCGAGUGCCGGAGAGGAAAGUGGAAUUCCUAGUGUAGCGGUGAAAUGCGUAGAGACUAGGAAGAACAUCAGUGGCGAAGGCGACUUUCUGGACUGUAACUGACGCUGAGGCAUGAAAGCGUGGGGAGCAAACAGG